AAGGAGUAAAUUAGGGAUCCUCAUUCGUCAAGUGAGAGCUGAAAAUGAGAGAGGAAGAGAGCUGAGUUGAGCGAGUGAGCGAGGAGGCCGAGCUGAGUGAGGAUCGAACCGAGAGGGAGAAGAGAACACCACAAUAGAGAAAGACAAGCUAGGACAACUAGAAGGAGAGAAGGAAACGCGACCGAAGAGGAAAGAAGAGGUGUCGUGGAGGUGGAAGGCCGAAGGAAAGAAAGAAAAAGUCGUGACCAAGAAACGCCGCGUUGCUAACAGAUUAUGAAGCUGUGUUGCACAUGAUGCUGACGUUCAGAAAACAUGUGAGUUUUCGUCCAUUUCCACUUGGUUGAGUUUUCCUUUUUGUGUUUCACUCUAACGGGCAUGC
rnacentral:lncRNA from 1 species